rnacentral:tRNA from 1 species
GCCAGCCUGGAGCAAAAGAAGCUCAGGGACAGCACCCAGGCCCUGGGUUCAAGCCCCAGGACUGGCA